CCCCCCUGGCGACGGACAAAAAGACACCCUUCGGUGUUGGUGUUUUUGUAUCAGUCAGGGGCAGAGCAGAUGGUAACUCCUUUGUUCAUCCUAGCUUGAUGCCGGGCUUAGUGGCUAAAGCUGUUUUAUGCCUAGGACACAUAA